GGCAUAGCGCCGGAAGAACGGAUAACUCUGAUGACGUUAAUUAAGGAGUAUUACUCCCUAUGCCU
rnacentral:tRNA from 1 species